UAAACUGAUAUUUUUCUACCGUUGUCAACAUAUUCUCUUGCUGUUUUGCUGAAUGCCCCUCCAUCCUUCUGUAGGGUGUGACACUUCUCCAGGAGGAGGACUCUCCUUUGGUAGGAAGGUUAACAUCUCCUGAGGACCCCUGCUGUGUGGGCAGGCUGGCAUAGGUGAAUGAGCAAUAGGUCUGUGCCUUUCCUAUAGAUUUCUGUAGGUAGCUGUUCUCUUGGAAGUUAAGAAAGAAGACAAACUAUUAAUUUGGACCAAGGUCUGCCUGUGGAUCUGCUGUAGAGCUUGUCAAGUUGGAAGCAAGGAAGG